UUCAUAUUUCAUGAAUGGUUUCAAUUCUUGUGAUUUUACAGAUAGUGCCUUAGCACUAUAGCUCACCUGGUUAAUGUAGUCAACAGUUUAAAAUGUUAAAGGGUGACAGUGAACAAAAUGCAGACAGCAAAUUUUGGAUACUGAAUUAUGUUAGACAUUUUAUUAUUGUUGUCACAUGUUUCGACUCAUCUCAUAUUUCCAUACAGAAUCAUAUAACAAACGAUAAGUUUUUGAGCAAC